CCUACGGGUGGCAGCAGUGGGGAAUAUUGGGCAAUGGGCGCAAGCCUGACCCAGCAACGCCGCGUGAAGGAAGAAGGCUCUCGGGUUGUAAACUUCUUUUAAGAGGGAAGUGCAGAAGACGGUACCUCUUGAAUAAGCCACGGCUAACUACGUGCCAUCAGCCGCGGUAAUACGACGGUGGCAAGCGUUGUACGGAUUUACUGGGUGUAAAGGGCGUGUAGCCGGGCUGACAAGUCAGAUGUGAAAUUUCGGGGCUCAACCCCGGACCUGCAUUUGAAACUGUUGGUCUUGAGUAUCGGAGAGGCAGGCGGAAUUCCUGGUGUAGCGGUGAAAUGCGUAGAUAUUAGGAAGAACACCGGUGGCGAAGGCGGCCUGCUGGACGGCAACUGACGGUGAGGCGCGAAAGCGUGGGGAGCAAACAGGAUUAGAUACCCGGGUAGUC
rnacentral:rRNA from 1 species